GACGAACGCUGGCGGCGUGCUUAACACAUGCAAGUCGAACGGAAAGGCCCUGCUUUUGUGGGGUGCUCGAGUGGCGAACGGGUGAGUAACACGUGAGUAACCUGCCCUUGACUUUGGGAUAACUUCAGGAAACUGGGGCUAAUACCGGAUAGGAGCUCCUGCUGCAUGGUGGGGGUUGGAAAGUUUCGGCGGUUGGGGAUGGACUCGCGGCUUAUCAGCUUGUUGGUGGGGUAGUGGCUUACCAAGGGUUUGACGGGUAGCCGGCCUGAGAGGGUGACCGGCCACAUUGGGACUGAGAUACGGCCCGGACUCCUACGGGAGGCAGCAGUGGGGAAUAUUGCACGAUGGGCGGAAGCCUGAUGCAGCAACGCCGCGUGCGGGAUGACGGCCUUCGGGUUGUAAACCGCUUUCGCCUGUGACGAAGCGUGAGUGACGGUAAUGAGUAAAGAAGCACCGGCUAACUACGUG
rnacentral:rRNA from 1 species